GCAUGGAGAUCCACUACCCGGGUGUGCGGUCCCCGGUGCAAGAGCAGCGUGCCCGCUGGGAGCGGAAACGCGCUUGCACCGCCCGGGAGCUGCUAAGAGACUGAGCGGCGCUACCAAGAACAGCUGGGACUGGUGGCCACGUACUUUUUGGGGAUCCUGAAAGCCAAGGGGACCCUGCGACCACCUGAGCGCCAGGCCCUGUUUGGCUCCUGGGAGCUCAUCUACGGCGCCAGCCAGGAGCUGCUUCCCUACCUGGAAGGAGGAUGCUGGGGCCAAGGGCUGGAGGGCUUCUGCCGCCACUUGGAGCUCUAUAACCAAUUUGCUGCCAACUCAGAGAGAUCCCAGACCACCCUGCAGGAGCAGCUAAAGAAAAAUAAAGGUUUCCGGAGGUUUGUGCGGCUUCAGGAAAGCCGCCCUGAGUUUGGGGGCCUUCAGCUCCAGGACCUACUCCCUCUGCCUCUGCAGUGGCUCCAGCAGUAUGAGAAUCUCGUCGUUGUUUUGGCUGAAAACACAGGUCCCAACAGCCCUGACCAUCAACAGCUCACACGGGCUGCCCGACUGAUAAGUGAGACUGCCCAGAGAGUCCACACUAUUGGUCAGAAACAGAAGAAUGACCAGCACCUUCGGCGUGUCCAGGCUCUGCUCAGUGGACGCCAGGCAAAGGGGCUGACCUCAGGGCGCUGGUUCCUACGCCAGGGCUGGCUGUUGGUGGUGCCUUCCCAUGGGGAGCCUCGGCCCCGCAUGUUCUUCCUCUUCACUGAUGUGCUGCUCAUGGCCAAGCCUCGACCUCCACUGCACCUGCUGCAGAGUGGCACCUUUGCCUGCAAGACCCUCUACCCCAUGGCCCAGUGUCAACUCAGCAGGGUCUUUGGCCACUCAGGAGGCCCUUGUGGUGGGUUGCUCAGUCUGUCCUUCCCUCAUGAGAAGCUACUGCUUAUGUCCACAGACCAGGAGGAGCUGUCACGCUGGUACCACAGUCUGACUUGGGCUAUCAGCAGCCAGAAAAACUAGAGGAAUCUUACAGAUUCCAGAACUCAGGAUACCUCAGGGAUAGGUCACAGCCAGGAGUACAAAGGAAUCUUCUUCAGUACUGAACAAAACAGAACCUUUCAUGAUUUGACAAAGGUCACUUUGUGUUUACCUGGACCAAGCUACUCAAGAUCACCUGACCAACUCUUAAAAAUCACGACCAGGCACAGUGGCUCAUGCCUGUUAUCCCAGCACUUUGGGAAGCAGAGGUGGGAGGAUCGUUUGAGCCCAGGAGUUCAAGACCAGCCUGGGCAACACAGUGAGUGAGACCCUGUCUCUAUUUAAGAAAAAAUAAUUAAGAAAUUUUAUUUAAAAAGAAUCAGGAAACCAAGUCUGACCCAACUGAACCAGCCCCUAACACAGAUGAGGGGAUUUGGGACUGAUAAGCUCCGUGCUGUGUCCAUGGCCCAUCAUUUAUCAAGGCUGCAGCUUUGUAAAUGUGGCUAUUUUUAUGUUGUGUAUAGUUUCUAUCAUUUAUUUUUCCACUGGA